rnacentral:siRNA from 1 species
UAUACACUUAUAUUUCGGGCA